AAGUCGUAACAAGGUUUCCGUAGGUGAACCUGCGGAAGGAUCAUUAACACGUAUCCACGUAUCAACCAAUGAGAACCUGUUUUCCCGUCUCCCUUUGCAAAGAAUGAAUUGGAACCAGUUUGAGGGAGUGAUGGGACUGAAAAGUCGGCCUUCCUGGUACACUUAUGUCGAUAGAAAUAUUUGCAUAGACAAUUGAAUUUUUGCAGAGGCUAUUUCUUAUCGCUCUGAUCUCCAUCAUGAUCGUGGCGGUAGGGAAAACCUUUCACAACAUUUACCAUUUUUGCUAGUUGACUUUUUAUAUGUGUUGUUUUGCGCAAGCAAGAGAGCACACGUUUAUUAAUUGAACGUUAAAAAAUACAACUCUUAGCAAUGGAUAUCUUGGUUCUC
rnacentral:misc_RNA from 1 species